CCGUUCCACUCAAUACCCGUGGGAUUCAGUUUCCCUUCUCGGUUCCCAGCAUUAAUUGCGAACUUUUCGGACAAUAAUACCCCAGCCUAAGAAUGCUAUUGCCAAUUUUACCCAUUGGAUCCCUGGUUCUUCUGACCAUCUUUCAUCAAUCACUGUCGUUUGUGCCCUCUAUCUCGCCGUUCUCGUGCCUCUUUCAUCACCCAGAAAGAGACGAAGUUCUAUAUCGAGAGCAUCUUCACUCACAAAGAAUUCACUUGUUCCAUCAGUCAGGUAUGUGAUUAUAUGAUUUAUAUUUCCUACGGUUUUUUCAUGAAUGGUAUGAUUUGUUUCUUCUUCUCCUUCAGCUUUCAUUCCACUAACUCUUCCUCCGCAAUCAACCCUCUCUCUCUCCCAAGUAAUCAAAGAUGCUCCUACUUAGUUUAUUUUCCUCUUGUUUGAUUCGGCAGACUUAUCUGCAAUAUGAUGUUAGAGAAUAUCUGGACUUCCAUGAACCCGAUCAAUCUUGUAGAAAGAAUGACAUGCUUGUUCUCAGGUUUCAAACCCUUCAUCCUUCAGGAAUAGAUAGCUAUGUAUGUCAUUGGAAAUCUCUCGGAGGAACCAAAUUUCAACUCAGAGUUCAGAGGAUUCUAGAUUGUAUUAGCAGAUAAUAAUAAUUUAAACAGGAAUGUGACCACUAAACUGCUCCAGAAACUUGGUUUUCAAGUUAGAAGAAACAAUAUUAGGCUUGAUUGCUUGAGUACCCUUUGCAGUGCUCAAAACCAUAGUUGUAUCGAUCUUCACAUUCCUGAAAUUGGUGUUCUUGAUCACAUGCUUGAAAGUCCCUGGCAAAGUCCCUCUCUUGUAUAAACGAUUGGUGUAUGUUUGAAUUUUUAUGAUAUUCUUAUUUAAAAUACAAGGGUAUUAUUGAGAC